UGGCGAACGGGUGAGUAACACGUGGGUGAUCUGCCCUGCACUUCGGGAUAAGCCUGGGGAACUGGGUCUAAUACCGGAUAGGACGAUGGUUUGGAUGCCAUUGUGGAAAGUUUUUCGGUGUGGGAUGAGCUCGCGGCCUAUCAGCUUGUUGGUGGGGUAAUGGCCUACCAAGGCGUCGACGGGUAGCCGGCCUGAGAGGGUGUACGGCCACAUUGGGACUGAGAUACGGCCCAG
rnacentral:rRNA from 1 species